UACGAAGGGGGCUAGCGUUGCUCGGAAUCACUGGGCGUAAAGCGCACGUAGGCGGAUUGUUAAGUCAGGGGUGAAAUCCUGGAGCUCAACUCCAGAACUGCCUUUGAUACUGGCGAUCUUGAGUCCGGGAGAGGUGAGUGGAACUGCGAGUGUAGAGGUGAAAUUCGUAGAUAUUCGCAAGAACACCAGUGGCGAAGGCGGCUCACUGGCCCGGUACUGACGCUGAGGGUGCGAAAAGCGUGGGG
rnacentral:rRNA from 1 species